rnacentral:lncRNA from 1 species
ACUAUGUUUAGGUAUGGCCGUGAAUUCCUGAUCUUUACAAGACUUUUAACACGAAGGGGUCUUGAAUUUUGUCAAAUGCUUUCUCAGCUCUAAUGAGAUGAUCAUGUGUUUUUUCCUUUGAGCUUGUUUAAAUAGUGGAUUACAUUGACAGAUUUCUGUAUAUUGAAACAUCCCUGCAUCCCUGGGAUUAAGCCUGCUUAAGCAUGACGGAUGGUCAUUUUGAUAUGUUCUUGGAUUUGCCUUGCUGGAAUUUUAUUAUUCUUGCAUCGAUAUUCAUAAGUUUUCCAUCCUGUCUCAUACACAUCCAAUACAGACAAUGUCUUAUGAAGAUCCUAGUAUUGAAAACAAGUUAAAAAUGUAGAAGGAAAUUUGGGAAUCAAAAUUGUCUAAAAGACCAAAAAACCUGUUUGUAUAGUGAAUAUUUGCAUGGAGAAACUAUUUCAUUUUAAAAUUUUAAGAAAAAUUUAACUGUGUAUACUUUAUCUUACAAUAAGCUAUUAUAAAAUAUAUAGAUAUAGAAAUAAUAAAAUAGUUAUUAUAGUGAAUGAAGGUCACUCAUGUCAUAUGUAGUUGAUUUGUUUUCUUGUAAGAGCAAUUAAGGACUGUUCAAUAAAAAAUAUUUAGUAUUGUUAUUGACUGUAGUUCUCAUGUGAUAACAUUAAAUCUCUAGACUUCCUUAUCUCAU